rnacentral:lncRNA from 1 species
GGCGGGACUUCCUGUUGCAGACCGUCUGAACCGCGCUUCCAUUGGCCGAAUCCAGCGCAGUCUGCUGGCGUUGGCGUUGGACGCCCCGGUGAUGGCCGACAUUAUGGGGCAGAGCCCAGGGGGCGGAGCCGAGCAGGUCCUGCACGGGGGAGGAGCCGGAGCCAAUAGCUGCAACCGCUGGUUCGACAAAGCCCUGCAGGUGAUUGUGGGUGCAGACGGUUCCUGUGGUCUCCUGUACGACCCGGAAGUCCUCGAUGGCGCCGUGGCUGCAGAAAUGGCCGACCACGCGCUCUCCUUCUGCCGAAGCUCCGCCCCUGGCCACGCCCCCUUGGUGCCGGUGCCCCGCCCCCAGCGGCUGCGUUUCUGCGUGGGGCCGGAAAUGGGGCCGGAAGUGCAGAGAGCCAGGAGGCACCUGGACAGGUGAUUAAUUAAUUAGCGCGCUCGUUAGCGCUCAUUAGGGUUGGUUGAGGCCGGUAGGGGGUAAUUGAGGGUUAAUUGGGGGUUAAUUGGAGGUACGUGGGGUUGUAGGUGGGGAUAGGGCAUGGUAAGAGGGGUUUAAUUAGUGUUUAUGUGGUUAUUAGGGAGCUAAUUGAUGGUUAAUUAGGGGGUGAUUAAGGGUUAAUUGGGGGCACGUGGGUCUGUAGUUGGGAAUAGGGCAGGUUAAGCGGAGUUAAUGGGUGUUAAUUGGGAUUGAUUAGUGUAUAGAUGUUAAUUGGGGAUUGAUUAGUGUUUAUUAGGGUUAUUAGGAAGCUAAUUGAUGGCUAAUUAGGGGGUUAUUAAGGGUUAAUUGAGGGUAGGUGGGGUAGUAAGUAGGAAUAGGGCACGUUAAUGGGUGUUAAUUAGGAUUGAUUAGUGCUUAGGUGUUAAUUGGGGAUUGAUUAGUGUUUAUUAGGGUUAUGAGGAAGCUAAUUGAUAGCUAAUUAGGGGGUAAUUAAGGGUUAAUUGGGAGUACGUGGGGCAGUAAGUGGGAAUUGGGGGACGUUAAGCGGGGUUAAUGGGUGUUAAUUGGGAUUGAUUAGUGUUUAGGUGUUAAUUGGGGAUUGAUCAGUGCUUAUUAGGGUUUUAGCUAGGUAACUGACUGGCUAAUUAGGGGGUAAUUAAGGGUUAAUUGAGCGGACAUGGGGCUAUAAGUGGGAAUAGAGCACGUUAAGCGGGGUUAAUGGGUGUUAAUUAGUGUUUAUUAGGCUUAUUAGCUAAUUGAUAGCUAAUUCGGGGGUAAUUAAGGGUUAAUUGGGAGUACGUGGGGCAGUAAGCGGGAAUUGGGGGACGUUAAGCGGGGUUAAUGGGUGUUAAUUGGGAUUGAUU